CCCAAUACCACUUCUAAUAUCAGUGCGAAUCCGUCGUUACAACUUUACCAAAAACUCUUUUAUCUAUUAGCCUAUACAAAUUGCUAAUCUCUUUACGUUUCAUUAUCAUCGAAGAAUUUCUUUCACAUUCAUCGUACCGGCAAGUGAAUAUGUUUAGCGCUCCCAACGAUAUUGAACAUUGCUUUAGUCUUGGGAAUUCCAAGAUUUUCUAGCACUUUAUGGAAUUAUUGGAGGUUGGUCAAUUGUAGGGGUAUGAAAAUGGGCUAAGUCGAGAAUGGGAAUGUUGAUAUCAAGUGUUCGAGACAACAUUGUUGGUAGAAAGGAACAUAUUUGGCGUUGGAGGGGUGUGCCAAAAUCUUUGGAGGGAGGUAAUGUUAAUAAUUACAAACCCUAAUUCUAUCCCAUCAAGAUCAAUCAAUUUGAAAAAAAAUAAAUAAACAAUUAAGAAUAGACAAGAUUUAUGGAGGUUUGUUUCAAUGUGAAACGAUGUCAUCUCCCGCCGCUGUAGUAAUUCAAUAUGAUAAAAGAAUGUUUAUAAGAGAAAAUAUUAAUCAUAUCUACCCUAACAUUUCUUUCUCUCUAUUUGAUGGAAAUACUUAAAGCCUAAAGAUGGUUCCCUAUAAAUAUAAGAUAAAUUAUGGCAAAAUCGAGUUUUACAAGGACUCCUAUUUCUUUAUAUAGUUUUACAAAAAUACAAAUUCCUAAAAACUCCAUAAACGAUCUGCAACCAACUUUGCGAAGUGACAAUAACUAUGCUCAAUAAAAAAAAAAAAAAAUGAAAAAGAAAGGAAAAUUUGUACUUACAUUAAUCCCUUCCUUUCUGCAGAAUGUAUUACAUCAAAAUCAGAGGAAAAAGUUGAAUAAAAAGAAAAAAAAAAACUAAAGUGCAUCACCGUUACUCCGGCGGCAUAAUGGACAAGUCCGAUUAAUUUCCAACCAUAUUUUGAUACAAUCAAAAUGAAAUAUAUGGUUGCACACCGGAAGACGCCCUAACAGUUCCCGGUUUUCGUAUUCCGCUAGACAGAUAGAGCAUUCACGUUCCCCAUCUGCAGCUUCUUCGACAUAAACAUCGAUUACUACUUCAUACUUCUUCCCUUCCUCCUUCGUCUGGGAUCGCGUUGAAUUCUGUGCACCUGGUGGCGGGCUUGGUGGCGCUGCAUGUGGUGGAAGACGGUUUAGGACUGGCGCGGCUGCCGAUGUUGGAUGGUAUAGGAGCGGUAUAAUGCGAACUGACGGUGGAGGACGGUUUACGACUGGCAGCUCCAAUACUGUCUCCUCAUGCGGUGAAUUAUCACUAUUCUUAAAACAUGCUGACACAAUAAACACCACAAGAGAUAUUAUAAUUUCUAUGACAAAUAAGGCAAUUAAAGACGACAUGUUUAAAGGAGGAAGAAGAGGAAAGAGAGAG
rnacentral:lncRNA from 1 species